ACGAACGCUGGCGGCGUGCUUAACACAUGCAAGUCGAACGGAAAGGCCCUGCUUGCAGGGUACUCGAGUGGCGAACGGGUGAGUAACACGUGGGUGAUCUGCCCUGCACUUCGGGAUAAGCCUGGGAAACUGGGUCUAAUACCGGAUAGGAGCCAUUUUUAGUGUGAUGGUUGGAAAGUUUUUUCGGUGUAGGAUCAGCUCGCGGCCUAUCAGCUUGUUGGUGGGGUAAUGGCCUACCAAGGCGGCGACGGGUAGCCGGCCUGAGAGGGUGGACGGCCACAUUGGGACUGAGAUACGGCCCAGACUCCUACGGGAGGCAGCAGUGGGGAAUAUUGCACAAUGGGCGCAAGCCUGAUGCAGCGACGCCGCGUGGGGGAUGACGGCCUUCGGGUUGUAAACUCCUUUCGCUAGGGACGAAGCUUUUUGUGACGGUACCUAGAUAAGAAGCACCGGCUAACUACGUG
rnacentral:rRNA from 1 species